UUUAAGUGCAGCUAUGAGCUUCUAUAUAACGUUUGAUCUUUCGUUUUAUUUGAAAAUUUUUAUAAUUAGUAGUUUUUUAUUAGAUGAUAAAAUAUAAAUAAUACUUUAUACGUGACUUAUUUUUUUAAUUUUUUAUAUUUUUUAAAUAAGAUGGACGGUCAAACAUUAAGCAGAGAAACCAACAGCUACACUUAAA
rfam:Oryza barthii chromosome 1, whole genome shotgun sequence.